rnacentral:rRNA from 1 species
GCCUACGGGGCGCAGCAGUGGGGAAUAUUGCACAAUGGGGGGAACCCUGAUGCAGCGACGCCGCGUGAAGGAAGAAGUAUUUCGGUAUGUAAACUUCUAUCAGCAGGGAAGAAAAUGACGGUACCUGACUAAGAAGCCCCGGCUAACUACGUGCCAGCAGCCGCGGUAAUACGUAGGGGGCAAGCGUUAUCCGGAUUUACUGGGUGUAAAGGGAGCAUAGGCGGUGCAGCAAGUCAGAAGUGGAAGGCCGGGGCUCAACUCCGGGACUGCUUUUGAAACUGUUGAACU